rnacentral:rRNA from 1 species
GAUGAACGCUGGCGGCGUGCCUAAUACAUGCCAGUCGAGCGAACAGACGAGGAGCUUGCUCCUCUGACGUUAGCGGCGGACGGGUGAGUAACACGUGGAUAACCUACCUAUAAGACUGGGAUAACUUCGGGAAACCGGAGCUAAUACCGGAUAAUAUAUUGAACCGCAUGGUUCAAUAGUGAAAGACGGUUUUGCUGUCACUUAUAGAUGGAUCCGCGCCGCAUUAGCUAGUUGUUAAGGUAACGGCUUACCAAGGCAACGAUGCGUAGCCGACCUGAGAGGGUGAUCGGCCACACUGGAACUGAGACACGGUCCAGACUCCUACGGGAGGCAGCAGUAGGGAAUCUUCCGCAAUGGGCGAAAGCUUGACGGAGCAACGCCGCGUGAGUGAUGAAGGUCUUCGGAUCGUAAAACUCUGUUAUUAGGGAAGAACAAAUGUGUAAGUAACUAUGCACGUCUUGACGGUACCUAAUCAGAAAGCCACGGCUAACUACGUG